rnacentral:rRNA from 1 species
UACGAAGGGGGCUAGCGUUGCUCGGGAUCACUGGGCGUAAAGGGUGCGUAGGCGGGUCUUUUAAGUCAGGGGUGAAAUCCUGGAGCUCAACUCCAGAACUGCCUUUGAUACUGAGGAUCUUGAGUUCGGGAGAGGUGAGUGGAACUGCGAGUGUAGAGGUGAAAUUCGUAGAUAUUCGCAAGAACACCAGUGGCGAAGGCGGCUCACUGGCCCGAUACUGACGCUGAGGCACGAAAGCGUGGGGAGCAAACAGG